GAUGAACGCUGGCGGCGUGCCUAAUACAUGCAAGUCGAGCGAACGGGCGAGAAGCUUGCUUCUCUGAUGUUAGCGGCGGACGGGUGAGUAACACGUGGAUAACCUACCUAUAAGACUGGGAUAACUUCGGGAAACCGGAGCUAAUACCGGAUGAUAUUUUGAACCGCAUGGUUCAAAAGUGAAAGACGGUCCUGCUGUCACUUAUAGAUGGAUCCGCGCUGCAUUAGCUAGUUGGUAAGGUAACGGCUUACCAAGGCAACGAUGCAUAGCCGACCUGAGAGGGUGAUCGGCCACACUGGAACUGAGACACGGUCCAGACUCCUACGGGAGGCAGCAGUAGGGAAUCUUCCGCAAUGGGCGAAAGCCUGACGGAGCAACGCCGCGUGAGUGAUGAAGGUCUUCGGAUCGUAAAACUCUGUUAUUAGGGAAGAACAUAUGUGUAAGUAACUGUGCACAUCUUGACGGUACCUAAUCAGAAAGCCACGGCUAACUACGUG
rnacentral:rRNA from 1 species